rnacentral:rRNA from 1 species
AUCCUGGUCGGACAUCAGGAGGUUAGUGCAAUGGCAUAAGCCAGCUUGACUGCGAGCGUGACGGCGCGAGCAGGUGCGAAAGCAGGUCAUAGUGAUCCGGUGGUUCUGAAUGGAAGGGCCAUCGCUCAACGGAUAAAAGGUACUCCGGGGAUAACAGGCUGAUACCGCCCAAGAGUUCAUAUCGACGGCGGUGUUUGGCACCUCGAUGUCGGCUCAUCACAUCCUGGGGCUGAAGUAGGUCCCAAGGGUAUGGCUGUUCGCCAUUUAAAGUGGUACGCGAGCUGGGUUUAGAACGUCGUGAGACAGUUCGGUCCCUAUCUGCCGUGGGCGCUGGAGAACUGAGGGGGGCUGCUCCUAGUACGAGAGGACCGGAGUGGACGCAUCACUGGUGUUCGGGUUGUCAUGCCAAUGGCACUGCCCGGUAGCUAAAUGCGGAAGAGAUAAGUGCUGAAAGCAUCUAAGCACGAAACUUGCCCCGAGAUGAGUUCUCCCUGAGACUUAGAGUCUCCUGAAGGAACGUUGAAGACGACGACGUUGAUAGGCCGGGUGUGUAAGCGCAGCGAUGCGUUGAGCUAACCGGUACUAAUGAACCGUGAGGCUUAACCUUACAACGCCGAAG